UACGGAGGGAGCUAGCGUUGUUCGGAAUUACUGGGCGUAAAGCGCGCGUAGGCGGCUUUGUAAGUUAGAGGUGAAAGCCCGGGGCUCAACCCCGGAACUGCCUUUAAGACUGCAUCGCUUGAAUCCGGGAGAGGUGAGUGGAAUUCCGAGUGUAGAGGUGAAAUUCGUAGAUAUUCGGAAGAACACCAGUGGCGAAGGCGGCUCACUGGACCGGCAUUGACGCUGAGGUGCGAAAGCGUGGGGAGCAAACAGG
rnacentral:rRNA from 1 species